GACGAACGCUGGCGGCGUGCUUAACACAUGCAAGUCGAACGGAAAGGCCCUGCUUUUGUGGGGUGCUCGAGAGGCGAACGGGUGAGUAACACGUGAGUAACCUGCCCUUGACUUUGGGAUAACUUCAGGAAACUGGGGCUAAUACCGGAUAGGAGCUCCUGCUGCAUGGUGGGGGUUGGAAAGUUUCGGCGGUUGGGGAUGGACUCGCGGCUUAUCAGCUUGUUGGUGGGGUAGUGGCUUACCAAGGCUUUGACGGGUAGCCGGCCUGAGAGGGUGACCGGCCACAUUGGGACUGAGAUACGGCCCAGACUCCAACGGGAGGCAGCAGUGGAGAAUAUUGCACAAUGGGCGGAAGCCUGAUGCAGCAACGCCGCGUGCGGGAUGACGGCCUUCGGGUUGUAAACCGCUUUCGCCUGUGACGAAGCGUGAGUGACGGUAAUGGGUAAAGAAGCACCGGCUAACUACGUG
rnacentral:rRNA from 1 species